rnacentral:tRNA from 1 species
AAGUAUGAAGCAAAUUUUGCAAUUAGUUUCGACCUAAUAGUUAGAUAAAUCUUAUCCUUACUUU